AAUGCCACUCAGCGUGUCCCCCCCACCCCAACCCCGUCCUUCCCCGUCCCCGCCGUUACAUUUACGCAGCGGCUCCUGGGUCGCCGGGCCCGCCGUGGCGGAGCGGUAGCAGCAGGGCAGCAGCAGCAGCCGCCGCCGUCGUGGCCCCUCCGCCGCCGCCGCCGCCUCCCGCCGCCGGGCGCACAUGAAGAUUGCGUACGCCAGGACAGUCGCGAGGGAGAGUAGGCGCAAUGUGAAGCAGAUGAGCGAGUAAAUCAUGAAGCCGCCGUACAUGUUCUGCAUACUGCAAACGAGGAGCUAAUUUCCUGGCAGCCGGCUUCAGGAUGCUUCAAGUCAGUCUCUGCCGAUGCGGCCCUUAUAAACCUCCCAGGCUGUGGCUGCAAACAAGCCUGGCUCCUUUCUCACUUUAGCAUCUAACUCCCACAAAUAUAGAUAAUUGAAUUAUGCAUUUUGUCAGGGUAAGCAGAAAACAACCAGCAACCACCCGAUCACUGAAGAAAACAGAGUCAAUCACUUUUUUUUUUCUUUUCUUUUUUUUUUCUUAAUUCAGCAUUUUAUGGGGCUCGGUGACAUUUUGUCAAGCAUGAGCUCAACCAGAUGCAGACAGAAGCAGCUGAGGGUUGUUUAUUGCACACAGAGUGGCCCUCCCUGACAGAAGCACUAAUGGAAAUGACACUAAUAAAACUGUCAUGUUCGUGUCUGAGCAGCAAAGUGUGAUUUCUGUACCCUGUUCUGACAACCACUUCCCCAGUGACCACCAGCAGAUCACUUCUCCUUCCUUCCUAGUUACCACCACUGAUUCAUAGUUGAGAUCAAUUAGUUAAUGUUUGCAAAGUCAGUUGAAGAUGACAAAGCAUUACAUACUGCUAAUAAAACCAUAAUGAUCCCACUGUUAAACAUUAAACACACAACGAGGUGUAAAAAAACAUACCACAUUUAUGGAAAAUUCCUCUUGCUGCAAGGACAAAGGAUUAGCUCCUAAAAAAAAGAAGGACAAGCUCAAAUUUGCACCACAGGAUUGUGUCUCAGGGGUUUGGCUUCUGUUUAAGUCUUUGCUACCGAUUAUUUGUGUAACUGUGGGCACAUCACUUGAACCAGCAGUUGCUGACCCACCUGAAUGUGGCAACUUCAUCCAGAGCUAGACAAUAAUCACCAGAAGCUUUUGGAAAGUGCUGGUCCUUUUCAUUUCGUGCCUCCACUUCCCAGUCUGCUAAAUGGGAUGAGAACUGCAGCUGUGUAGCUUGAUUUUGCAGGCAAGAUAAUACAGCAGUGAGCAAACCCUGGCAACAUGGCCAUUAGAAGCCUGGAGAGCUGUGCUGUGCGUGAGGCACGUCACACCACAGUGCAAGGAAUAAAAGUGGGUGUGUGGGACUUUCUAGGAGAUUUUUCUUGGCAAUGAGUCUUGCUUCAGAUGUAAAACUGGUAGCUGUGCCACUGGUAGGGCUUCGGGUCGCUGUAUGUAGAGCAGUGCAUGUCUGAUGCUCUGACCUACAGGCAAGAAGGAAGAGAGGAACCAGGAAAACCACGUUAGUCUGUAGCUUUGGGCCUGCACGGGGCCACAUUCACGGUGAUGAGGCACUGGUGCUUCUGGCAGGGCAGAAGCCUUGGGUGGAGAUUUGCACAACAGGAGCUCCAGGCAGUUCAGGAUCUGGCACAGUGAUCUUAGAGAGCAGAACUCCUCUCCAAAAAGAGCAGCCCUUUGACAAGGUAUCCCUCAUUUCCGCAAUCGAACUGCCCUUUGCAAGGAGCACGUCUGAGCCACAACAGCCUAUUGCAUCUUCCUCCUGAAAUCUGAUGCUGCCCUGCUUUGAUGGUGAUCAGUUGAUGUCUGCAGAAAAGCUGAAUCAUGAAACAGAGGUUAUAAACAAGGUUAUUUUUAACGAAGGAAACAAAUCCCACAUCAUGCAGAAGUCGUAGCAAGGAACUGUCAGCAAGGGCUCGCAGGUCUCACUUUUGCCCUGAUGUUCUUUAUGUCCUGGAGCAAAUUAAAAUCUCUCUAACCUUUAAUUUACCUCCUUGUAACAUGGACAAAGCAGCAGACUCCAGUUGUGCUUUCUUUGUACAGCAAAGCUCCUGGUGUGACAGUAAAGUGGUGCUGGGAGCCGCGCAAUGCCAGGGGCUGGCUUGCACUGCCGCCCAGCACCUUGCAGAGCUAUUUUCAGCCAUGCAAAACGAUCACAUGCAGUAUUUCAACAACGUUCAUAGACGUUUCAAAUGCAGAGAGAGACUACCCAGUCUGAUUCCCUGCUCCCAUAUUUCACAGUCUUUCAUUUCAAUUCCCACAUGCAGCCCAGUAACUUCUGCUUCAUUUUGCUCACUGCAAACUCAAAAUAGACAAGUUUUGUAUCCCAGAGACCCAUGCUGUGUCCUUCAAGCACUGGAGUGCUGCAGGGUGUAUGUUGUAGAUACCCAAGCCAGGGGGAGGGAAGAUGGGACUGCUACACCUACAGCUAGCUGGGAAAUUUCCUAAUUAUGCCAUUUCUCUUUCUCACAAUUAAAUUCUUCCAAGAAAGGCAUAUUUCAUUUUCCCGAGGAAAGGUACCUCAACUCAAGAAAGUAGGGGAUUAAGGCUAGGACUGGUUAGGUUUCCACACACUUUCCAAAAAAUAUGAACAACUCCGUGUACAGAUCCUUGUAAACCUGUCUUCUCUGCUCCAUGCCCAAUUUAACAAGUGCUUUGGGUGUGUCUCCCCAACAUUACAGAGAUAACAACUAAGGUUAAAGAACUCUAGAUUUUUUGAAAAUGUUUUGUAAAUAUAUAAACACACACACAUAUAUAUUUAUGAAAACUUUAGGAGAUUGUAAAUUUUCCUGCCAUACUUAUUUACAACACUCUUAGGGAUUUUUCCUGCUGGAGGAGCUUACCUUGCUCACUCAACCUUCUUUGAGCUGAGUAAUGAUUUCCACAUGGAAAAUAUCAAAUAGAACCCAAAGCAGCAGUGGGUUGGAUCCCAAGUGGGUUCUGCUCCUCCUGGCCCUGCCUGCUGUGGUAGCAGACACCAAACCUGCACUGGCUCAGAACACACACCAGCCCCUUGGCACAGGUGCCCGGAAUCUCCAGCACAGCCGUGAGAAGUGGAACAGGACCAACCUUGCAAGCCAGUUCCCGCUUGCAGGUGCCUGCAAGGACAUGUGGCUGCAUGCCAGCAGAUGGAAUAACCAUCGCCCCUCACUAGUUAUGGGGCAGGGAUGCUGCAAGGCUACGCUAAUUAGUGCUUGAGACGCCUCUGUGAUCUGUAGAUGAAAGGUGAUUUACAGCUGCAAAUUAUUGCUCUCCUUCAUGUGAAGUCUAUUAUUUUCUGGUGUCCCUCAUUUUGACUCACGCCACAUCCCAUAUUUGGUGUGGGGCAGGUUCCUCUCUGUGGGCAGUUGUAAAGGUGCUUUACAGCCCCAGCUGGCUGCAUGCUGUAGAAGCCCAUGAUCUGCUUGCAGCAUCCACUUGAGGCAGCCUGGCCAUGCCCAUGCUUGGGAAACUUGGGCUGGAAUUUGCACAAAACCACAAAACUUGAACAGAUGACUUAGCUGGUGGGUUAAGAGGGGCUCUAUUCAAGGUUGGGUACUCAGCUGAGCUGUGCACUCAAUUCUGUGAACAGUCAGAGGACCAGUAGGAUGAACCAGAGAGGAGAAACAGGAAUAUCCCGAGCCUCUGUGCUUGGGACUGCCUCAGGGAAGGGGAAGAAGCCAGAGAGAACCAGACUGGGGCCUCUCAGUCUAUAGCUUCUCACCUGUGUCCCAAACCUUCUGGGCAGGAAUUACAAAGCAGGAAAGGUUUGUGUCUUUGGCAGGUGUCUGGAGGGAAGGGAUAUUGGGGUGGUUUUGUGAACAGCCCAUGGAUAGCAGAAGGAGCAGGUAUAUUCAAUGUCCUUCCUGCAUUAUGCCCCAUGGCACAUACACCCCAUCAGGUUGCAAAAAGCAAGUGACCUUUUGCUUUUUAUUGAUAAACAAAACAGCAGAAAGUAGCAUGUGGUGUAAGGUAGUUGUAACAACAAAGGAAGAAAUAUCCCUGAUACUCCACACCAGAGCAAUUCUAGCACAAAUUGGAAUUUCCUUCCCUCUCACUUCCUAUGCAACUUUCCAGCUGGGAAAGUAAAUGACCAUUCACACAAGCAGGCACAAGGUAGUCAGGGAUUUUUACAACUGAGAGAUCUCCCACCUCCUGCCUAGCCCACGGCAGUUUCUACCUUCUCCCCCAAGGUCCAUGACAUUUUAAACGUUCCAGUGAUGAGACUCCCAGGUAGCCUCACAUAGCAGUGAACAAGGAGGACUGGAUGGGGUCUCCAGUCCUAUGGCAGCCCUGUCUCCAUCACCUUGUUCCCUCAGCUCCACCAAACCUUCCUGGCAGGGGUUUGCCCACACUGUGAAUUGGUCUGAGGCUGCUGUUACUCUCCCCAUGGACACAACAGUCACACUCUAAUUCCAGCUUUGACUCCCUCUUGACAAACUCAUUUGGGUCCCAUUUUCACGAGUGGCAGCUGCAGCACAAAAGGGCACUUGCUGCAUUGCCUACACCAGCAACUGGGCUUCUGUGCUCCCUAAAAUGCAAGCUGCUGCAGACUCUUGCCUGUCCCUGCCAUCUCCCUGUGGGCCAGCGAUGGCAACAGCCCAGCUUGUCCUCUGCAAAAGCCCUGCUAAUGUACACACAGGCUGCCUGUGGAUGUGGGGAGCAGAAACAAGGCUGCAGAGCUGCACCCCAGUGGCAACGUAUGCACAGACAGAGGAAGACUAUUUCAGAAGUGUUUGGGCCAAGAGGGCUAGUGAAGCCUGCAGUGGUUCUCUGGGUGAGUGUCACCUUCACAUCCACCCGCAGAUCCCUUUAUGAAUGACCAUGAGGCCCAUGGUCCCUGCAUCCCACGCUGGAGGGACCUGGUGCUUCAGGCUGGUGUUGUGACCCCUCUCCCUGCUCCACAUCCUUGCAGUUCUGUGAAUCCUCUGAGGUACUAAGAAAGCCACAAGCUAAUUCCUUUUCUCUCUACUAAAGGCAGCAAGAUGAUUAAAAGAGUUAGCCAAAUAUUGCUAUGGGGAGCACCAAGUGGUAACUCAUUAGAGCUCCCACCUGUGCUACAACAAGCCCCAAGGAAAACAGAAAGACCCCCACCAUAAUGUCCUGCUCUAGUCUCUAACCUGAUGUUCUGCUGCAUUUUCUUACUGCGAAGUUUUCUCCCAAAGGUUUUGUCCUGAAUUCCUCAACGUAUCCGGGCAGGGGGGCUUUGGGUCCGAAGUCGCUUUUGCACAUCACUCACAUGGCAGCAAAACUCAGCGUUUGCUGAGAGAGGAGCCUGCACUGUAUUCCAGCACUUCUCUAUGGAUUGUACUAACUAUGGGAAAUGAUGAAAAUAAGUCUUCAAAACUUAACUCCACUCAAGCAAAAGCUGAUUUUAAUGGUCACUGUUGAGUAUUAACCUUACAUGUGUUACCAAGGAGUGAGCAGAGAGACAGGCCAUGAGCACCGCUUAGAAAAUUACGUUUUACAUAAAAGGUCAACAAGCCAGAAUCAGUUUGACAUCUUCUGUAAGAUAAAUCAUGGUAGAGUGUUGGAAAUCUUAUUUUUAGCAGCUGAAGAUUCGCAAAUAACAGUUUUUAAUAACCACAAAUGGCGACAUCAAAAUGCCACACCCCAAACUGAAAUCAUCCCUCACUUCUUCUGGCAGGUGGGGAGGGAUUUCUAAGCUUUCCUCCUCCUUUUAAACAACCGCUGCAGCAAAGAAACACUGAAAGGUGGAAAAAAACACACAAUCUUGCGUGGUGGUGACAUUGACAGAUGUGAUGGUGCAGGCUGUACAUGACGUUGUGAUUUUUUAUUAAUAACUCUGCACUGCAGAGCUCAGUUAGGAAAAGAAGGAGUGCCUGAGUGCGUGGGGAGGACAGCUUUGUUCUUUGGACUUGCAAGAGAAGGAACGUAACGUCAAAGGUAGAAACACUGGAGGGGAGCAAGACUCACAAAGGAGGCAACGGGCUGUGGGUGGUUGUGAGCAUCAGGUACACGCAGUAAACAAGACCCCAGCCAUCAGGUAUCCAGGCUUUUAAAUCAACCCACUUGGAUCAGCAACAAGAGGGCAGGAAAAGAUGCUCUCAAUUAGUGGGAGCAGAUAAGGGAGGUCCAGUUGUUUUACACAAAAGAGCUUGGAGGUUUUUCUUUGCUGACUAAUAUGGUGGGACACACACAGAACAAUGCCUGGUCCCUUCCUCCAGCAAAAGAAUGUCCUUGUCCCUCCUGGCCCACACAAGUCACCCAUGCAGAGGUGUGCAGAGCCAGGCAGGAUGGGGAAGGAGGGCUUCCUUAGCAGCCACAGAGAAGCUGCUCUGCAGGAGGACAUGGGCAGCUGUAGGAGCAGUUGGGCUCAGCCCCGCAGAGAGCGAGAGUGCCAGCAUGUGAUGAACACACUGUCCCCAGUCACGUCGCUGCACCGCCGAGGGGAAGGAAACCAAGCUUCAAAGGGAGGGAGGCAGGAGGGGCCCAAGUUUCCGGGGGUGGCUGCUCCCCAGUGUUUGUCAUCAUCUGAAAGACGAGUGAAAGUUUUUGCUCAUGGGAUAAUUAUUAAAGACAUUUGGGUCUUGCUUUCACAUGCCCUCUUCUUUUUUGUUUUUCUAAUUAACUGUAAACCCCAUCCUGGCUGCUAAACAGGGAUCUGCGGAACUGAAGCUUGUAUAAAUGUAGUGAUUUAUGUUCCUUUGGAAGUGAACUGGCAUUUCUGAGGAACCCCACCCAAGCCUAGCAAAUACCAAGCGAGCACACUGACUCACUGGCUGCUGGCAUUUGCUCCUCUCCCUCGAUGGCUGGAGCCUGCAGCCAAUUUGGGCACAUGUGAGACAGUUCUGGUAAGUGAACCCCAAUCCCCAGUGACACUGCCUUACACUGGAGAAGUGCCUGCCAAAACCUCUGGCUCCCAGGAGAGGCUCAGAAGGGAAGAGCAGCAGCACUGCAAGGCUGAGUCAAGCUGUAAUCACCGGAGUGAUGUGCUGAAGGAACCAGCGUGUUGGCACAGCCUCUGCCUCCAGCAAGGGCUAAGAACCUGCUGCCAAUUCACAAGCAUUGAAGUCACCCGAAGGCAGAGGAGAGCCCUGCAGAGUGGCCUGCCUGGCAAGCCUUGGCAGAAGCCCCUUUGCUUUGCUACACCAUGAGAGAAGCUGGGAGAGUAGAUAAGUUUGAGAAAGCUCUCAAAAAAUCCAGUCCUGACUGCAGAAGGAUCAGCCAAGGCAGCAAUACCCCCUGAGCACCUGACACAGAGGAGCCCAGCUUACAGAAAUUGGUUCAACCAUUUGCAGGUGUGAUAUUGGUUUAAAACAAAAAAAAUGUUACCAUGUUGUUAAAAUACCCCCUCCCUACUCAACACUGCUCCUUCAUAGAAAUAUAGUUGUCUUUGAUGACUUGAGGGUAAAAAGUCCCUUUUGACUGCAGCACUCCCGCCAGGGUUCAGAGCCACUCUCACAGGAUGGUUCUUGCUCAGCUCUUGGGGCAUCUCUCACACUCACACACAUCCCAUAUACAUGAGACUCCCCUGGGACAGCCAGCUUGCUACCCCAUCCACCCCAAAAAGGCCCCUUUCCCACACACCCAUAGAUAGCAGCACUGACUGCAGGGGCACCCGGGUGGUAUUUACCUGGAAGAGCAUGUGCUGAGCUCCUACAGUUCCCAGAUGCCAUAAAGUGAACCAGCUGGGUUGGUCUUUCCCUGCUUUUUUUUCCUCGCUAGCUACCCAUCCAAUAUCUGCUGUAAUAAAAAAGGCAAAUCAGAAAACAA